GGGUGAGUAACACGUGGGUAACCUGCCUCAAAGAGGGGGAUAGCCUCCCGAAAGGGAGAUUAAUACCGCAUAACAUURGUUUUUCGCAUGAAGAACUAAUUAAAGGAGUAAUCCGCUUUGAGAUGGACCCGCGGCGCAUUAGCUAGUUGGUGAGGUAAAGGCUCACCAAGGCGACGAUGCGUAGCCGACCUGAGAGGGUGAUCGGCCACAUUGGAACUGAGACACGGUCCAGACUCCUACGGGAGGCAGCAGUGGGGAAUAUUGCACAAUGGGCGAAAGCCUGAUGCAGCAACGCCGCGUGAGUGAUGAAGGCCUUCGGG
rnacentral:rRNA from 1 species